rnacentral:rRNA from 1 species
CAUUACACAAAUAUGAAGGCGGGCUGGAACCUCUCGGGGUUACAGCCUUGCUGAAUUAUUCACCCUUGUCUUUUGCGUACUUCUUGUUUCCUUGGUGGGUUCGCCCACCACUAGGACAAACAUAAACCUUUUGUAAUUGCAAUCAGCGUCAGUAACAAAUUAAUAAUUACAACUUUCAACAACGGAUCUCUUGGUUCUGGCAUCGAUGAAGAACGCAGCGAAAUGCGAUAAGUAGUGUGAAUUGCAGAAUUCAGUGAAUCAUCGAAUCUUUGAACGCACAUUGCGCCCUUUGGUAUUCCAAAGGGCAUGCCUGUUCGAGCGUCAUUUGUACCCUCAAGCUUUGCUUGGUGUUGGGCGUCUUGUCUCUAGCUUUGCUGGAGACUCGCCUUAAAGUAAUUGGCAGCCGGCCUACUGGUUUCGGAGCGCAGCACAAGUCGCACUCUCUAUCAGCAAAGGUCUAGCAUCCAUUAAGCCUUUUUUUCAACUUUUGACCUCGGAUCAGGUAGGGAUACCCGCUGAACUUAAGCAUAUCAAUAAGCGGAGGAAAAGAAACCAACAGGGAUUGCCCUAGUAACGGCGAGUGAAGCGGCAACAGCUCAAUUUGAAAUCUGGCUCUUUUAGAGUCCGAGUUGUAAUUUGCAGAGGGCGCUUUGGCUUUGGCAGCGGUCCAAGUUCCUUGGAACAGGACGUCACAGAGGGUGAGAAUCCCGUACGUGGUCGCUGGCUAUUGCCGUGUAAAGCCCCUUCGAC